UUUAACCUAAGCAAUAUAUAAGUGAGUUCAAGUCCUUCUUGAAGGGGGCCAUUUUCCCAUAGAGGGUGCUAGGCCCGUAGUAACCAUUUAUAUGUUUAGGUGGGUAUCUCCUUAGAGUCGGGUUGCUUGAGAGUGCAGCUCUAAGUGGGUGGUAAACUCCAUCUAAGGCUAAAUAUGACUACGAAACCGAUAGCGAACAAGUACCGUGAGGGAAAGUUGAAAAGAACUUUGCAGAGAGAGUUCAAGAGUACGUGAAACUGUUCAGGGGUAAACCUGUAAUACCCAAAUAGUUCGAAAGAGGUGAUUCAUUUGUUUUUCCGUUUAUAAUCAUUUUUCAGUAUAUAGACAUGUAUAAAUCAUUUAUGAUUUUUAAUCGUAUUUGUUAUAUUAUAUAUGCUAUUCUGAUUAAUGUAUAUUUUAUAUUCGGUGGCAUGCACUUCAUCUCUAGUAGAGCGUCGUAACUCAUUAGAUAUAAUUAUGAAUAUAUAUGNGGGGUUUAAGGUUCACAAUGGAGACCGUGGCGUCAUAUUAUUUUUUAUUAAAUAUAAUGUGCGACCCGGACUUGUGUUAUCCUGACACUCUAUCUGAUGGUAUAUAUAUAAAAAUGUAAAUCACUACU
rnacentral:rRNA from 1 species